UACGGAGGGGGGCUAGCGUUGUUCGGAAUUACUGGGCGUAAAGCGCACGUAGGCGGCUUUGUAAGUUAGAGGUGAAAAGCCCCGGGGGCUCAACUCCGGAAUUGCCUUUAAGACUGCAUCGCUAGAAUUGUGGAGAGGUAAGUGGAAUUCCGAGUGUAGAGGUGAAAAUUCGUAGAUAUUCGGAAGAACACCAGUGGCGAAGGCGACUUACUGGACACAUAUUGACGCUGAGGUGCGAAAGCGUGGGGGAGCAAACAGG
rnacentral:rRNA from 1 species